GUGCAGCAGGCGCGAAAACUCCACAAUGCACGAAAGUGCGAUGGGGCCACCCCGAGUGCUGUCCGAUGAGGAUAGCUUUUCACCGGUGUAAGGAGCCGGUGGAAGAAGGGGAGGGCAAGACUGGUGUCAGCCGCCGCGGUAAUACCAGCUCCCCGAGUGGUGGGGGCGAUUAUUGGGCCUAAAGCGUCCGUAGCCGGUUUAGCUAGUCUCUCGUUAAAUCUGACGAUCCAAUCGCCAGGCCGCGGGAGAUACUGCUAGGCUAGGGGGCGGGAGAGGUCGACGGUACUUCCGGAGUAGGGGUGAAAUCCUAAGAUCCCGGAAGGACCACCAGUGGCGAAGGCGGUCGACCAGAACGCGCCUGACGGUGAGGGACGAAAGCUGGGGGAGCGAACCGGAUUAGAUACCCGGGUAGUCC
rnacentral:rRNA from 1 species